rnacentral:rRNA from 1 species
CGCGUAGGUGGUUGAUUAAGUGAGUUGUGAAAUCCCUGGGCUUAACCUAGGAACUGCAACUUAAACUGAUUGACUGGAGUACAGUAGAGGGUGGAGGAAUUUCCGGUGUAGCGGUGAAAUGCGUAGAUAUCGGAAGGAACACCAGUGGCGAAGGCGGCCACCUGGACUGAUACUGACACUGAGGCGCGAAAGCGUGGGGAGCAAACA